rnacentral:tRNA from 1 species
GCUUCCUUGGCUCAGUUGGUUAGAGCGUCAGUCUCAUAGUCACGUGAGUGGGAUCACCCAUGCAAUCUGAAGGUCGUGAGUUCGACCCUCACAGGGAGCA